GCAGCUUUGAGUAGUGGUCUCUCCCCAGCUUGGCCGUGCGUGCUAGAAUGUACGGUGGUCAUACGUGCACCCUGGGCGUCUUUCUAGAAACCUCUCCCACGGAAGCAUCACACAAGGCACGCAGAGGUAUCCGCACAGGGCCGUGUGGAACGGCCCCCCCCCCGGGAAGGCUCCGAACGUCCAUCCGGAAAGAGCUGCCGGCUCCGCAGCUGGUUGAGGGCUGGAAGCUCCUGAAGGAUGAGGAAACUAGAUGCGGGAAGAUGAAGCCAGCCUCCCAAGGCCCCGCAGCCAGCAGGGGGCGGCGCUGAGAUUUGAACCCGGGCACCAGACCCCAAGCUUGCAAACGCCAGGCGAGCCCGCCGCCUGAUGGAACAAAGAGGGCGAUGAGGCCGGUGCCGGUGUGGGCGGAGCCGAGCCGGGAAAGGAGCCUUCCAGGGGCUUGUCUGAGUCAGAACGUGCGUGAGAGGCAGAGCCGGGACACAGGACCACGGCACGGAGCAAAGAGAUGACAGGGAGGGCGCGGACUUCUCCCGCUCUUCGUCCCGAAGGAGGCAGGACGGCAGAAUGUCACAGGCUUCCUUCCGACGGGGCGGCCUCCUCCAGCUCGCCCCUCCCCCCACCUGCCCCACGCGCAGAAAUCCGCGUCCGUCCAGGCCCGGCCGCGCCAGGCCGGCGAGCUUGGCCAGCGAACAGUCGCGGCUGUGCUUCCCUGUGUGGGUCCCACGUCCCGAGUCAUACCAUCCCAGGGCUUCAGUGGGACGCCACCUUGUCCCUCAUCCAAGUGUUUUGACUUUUUACCAUCCGUUUGCUAGUGAGAACUGGACUUAAUGAGGCAGAUCUGGACUCCAAUCCUGACUCUGCCUUUUACCAGCUACGGGAGCCCGGGACGCUUCACCCGACCUCCGAGCACUUCCGUUCGACAUCUGUGCAAAUGGAAAUCAUGAGCGUGUCGCUCACGUGCUGUCGUGGGGAUUAAAUGAGAUAAAAUAUACCAAGGGCUUAGCACAGCUCCGGGCACAUAGUAAGGGCCCGGUAAACGGUAGAAGGUAGUGUUAGAAUAAAGACCACUUCUCUCUCUCUCUCUCUCCCUCUCUCUCUCUCUCUCGAGCUUCAGUUGUGUUUUUGUUUUUUUUGUUUUGUUUUUCCGGUCAUAUUUGCAAGAAUUGCAUAGAUUUGAACCCAUAACCACUCCUUUUUCUUAAGUUAUUUAUUUAUUUUGAGAGAGACAGGGUGCACACACAAGCAGGGGAGAGGCACAGAGAG